rnacentral:lncRNA from 1 species
AAAAGUGUGACGAAUAUGGCCUUAGAGAAAGAAAGGUUCCUAAAACUUGCCCGACUAGGUGGAAUUACAUGUACGAAAGUUUAGUAGUAGCAUACGCAUAUAGAAACCCAAUUAACGCUACGUAUAAUUCUCGGGAUUGUGGUGAGGAAGAUGAUGAAAUGCUAACUACACAAGAUUGGACUAACGUCAAAAUUCUUUUAGAUUUAUUAGAACAUUUUCAUGUGGCUAUAAAUGUUUUUUCUGGCCAAUAUUAUCCAACUAUUUCUAACUGUUUAGUUUAUAUUGCC